UCAAAUCAUUAAUUCCGAGCCCUUGAUCCUAAAGGCAUCCUAUGGAUCAGGGCCGCUAGGGUUUAAAUGGAAACGUUUAGGCCUCCACGUUGGGAAGGAAUUAAUUAACCACCCGU
rnacentral:ncRNA from 1 species